rnacentral:lncRNA from 1 species
AGCAUCGCAAUCUUCAAUUACAACUGAUCUCAACUGGGAAGGCAGAGCAACCUCUGGAAAUGAAACAAGUGAAUUGCAACUCCGAAUCACCAAACUCUCAAGAGAUGAAUUGGAGUUGUGCAUCCAUGCCUCAGGUAAGGAUUCCAAAGCAUUGCAAUCUUCAAUUUUAACUGUUCUCAACCGGGAAGGCAGAGCAGCCUGAGGAAAGGAAACAAGGGAAGCGCAGCCAUGUAUCCGCAUCUCAGUAAGGGAACUAAGGGUGAGCAAUGCUUGUGGUAGCCUUGUAAGGCCUCCACAAUUCCUCAAUUCCAAAAAACGAAGUCUGCACGGCAACUCUGGCUGUUGUCGGUCAUGUUCUUCCUCUGUGACCAAGGAAAGCAGUCGAGGACAACUUGAAAUCUGCAACCGAUUAAGGGAUCUAACGUCUUGCAGCAACCGAGUUUCACUCCGCCAUAAAUAUGUUUGCUCUUGAACAUCAUCAAUCUCUAAACUUUCCAAUUUAGGUAGCCCUUGUUCAAAUAGACCUGGUAAAACCACUUCAACUGCAAUUUGCACUAAAUGUGGGCUGCUGAACACCACCCUUUUACAUCCAUAGAUUCGUAAUUCACGGAGAGCUGGUAGACAUUGAAUUGUCACUAGCAACUGAUGACAACUUCGGAUGACGAGCGUCUCCAAUAAAGGAAGUCGUUUGGGCAAUGUUCCUUGAAGUUUAGAACAAUCGAUAAGAGAAAGCUUUCGCAGCUUAGGAAACACUUCAUCAACUUCUUGACCAGCUCCGCAAGGAAUCCACUCUUCCCAUUCUCUCAUGUAGAAAAAGGAAAGAGUCACAAGUGAUGGAAAGGGCACUGAGCAACUGCUUCCAUAAAACUCCAACCCCACGCUCUUUACUCCGUCCAUUCCACUUAUAUCAAGUUCCUUUAGAAGCGGUAGUUGUCCAACUGAUGGCAAAGAUGUACACGUGCACAUAAAUAAUUCUAGACGCGCCAAUUUUGAGAAAGAGGAAUCUCCUAGCCAAAUUGGAAAUGUUGUACCACCGUAGCCUGUGAUGGUGAGCU